GAUGAACGCUCGCUACAGGCUUAACACAUGCAAGUCGAGGGGAAACGCCAUCGAAAGCUUGCUUUUGAUGGGCGUCGACCGGCGCACGGGUGAGUAACGCGUAUCCAACCUGCCCAUCACUUGGGAAUAACCUUGCGAAAGUAAGACUAAUACCCAAUGACAUCCCACGAAGACAUCUGAAUGGGAUUAAAGAUUUAUCGGUGAUGGAUGGGGAUGCGUCUGAUUAGCUUGUUGGCGGGGUAACGGCCCACCAAGGCAACGAUCAGUAGGGGUUCUGAGAGGAAGGUCCCCCACAUUGGAACUGAGGCACGGUCCAAACUCCUACGGGAGGCAGCAGUGAGGAAUAGUGGUCAAUGGGCGAGAGCCUGAACCAGCCAAGUAGCGUGCAGGAGGACGGCCCUAUGGGUUGUAAACUGCUUUUAUAAGGGAAUAAAGUGGGUCUCGUGAGACUUUUUGCAUGUACCUUAUGAAUAAGGACCGGCUAAUUCCGUG
rnacentral:rRNA from 1 species